AACAAGGCUUCAGCUUGUUUUGGAUCUACCCGAGCCUGCCCGAAACAAGCCCACCAAAAACAAACAAGAACCAUUUGAUCUUCUUGCUCCCAAGCCCACCCGAAACCUAUCAUCUUCUUCCAGAGCUCCGCUUUCUCUCUCUAGCGGAUCCUGUCUCCUCCCCAGUUUGACUUGCGCCACCUCCCUCGAUCCACCGUCAUCGUCAUCCCCUCCCAGGCAUCGAGCUCGAACCAAUAAGUGUUGUUAGAGGAAGCUUUCUACGAACAAUCAUCACAGUAAAGCUUUUACAUUGUCCUUUUUAAGGGCUGAUCACGAGUAUUCUGGUGAAGGAUCAGCAUGUGAAACUAUUGCUGAGGGGGCGAAAAGGGAGCAACUGCUGGAAAUUGUUCAUUUAGACAGACUUUUUCAUGGGCAACUCUGGAUGAGCAGCUGACUGACUCAUUGAUGGACAAAAUUUGUUUAUACUUCAUUGAAACUGGGGGUCUACCAGUCUUUGUUGGAGAGUUCUACGGAAGAAUGAACAUGACCUAGAUCUUGCUUUAUGGAAUUAGUGCUCUUGUUUGUCACAGUCAACAUUUGGGAUCUAAUGUUUUGAAUACUACAAUAAAGCUCCUCUGUGUAAUUAAGACA